UGAAUGGUGAAAACCGAUUGGAAUCAUUUAAAUCUUUGACCGCUAGGUUUUAUGGGUGUUAAUGACACCUCCACUGUUGGGCUUUAUUAGCGCCCGAUAUAUUAUGGACAAAUAAAAAAUGCUAUGCAUAGCACCUUUUUAACUUAGCUAAGUGUAGUGGAUUGACACCUGGUAAUAGACUUGCGGAAAUGUAAUUUCAUCAUGGGUCCCUGAUAUGUACUACACAGAAAUGCAUAAUUAUGGAUACGGAAGUCGUUCUCUUCACUGUGAUGUAUCCAAAACUUCUACCUGUUACGCAAAGGAAACCACUGACCAUUUAGGUUGUGAUGUGACUGAUACAACAAGCACUAAAGCUGAAACAUCACAGGAGAGACAGUUUCCCCAUGUGAAGAGGUCUCUUCAGCAAGUGUUUGAGUGUGCCUACGCCCAGCUAGUCCUCCCCUGGUACAGCGUCCCUGAGCCCUGUGACAGUCAGCUCCUGCACCAGGUGCUGUGGAGGGAGUUUGACCAAGUCAUCGAUCAAGUCAUCAGCAAAGGCAAAGACUUUGACGUCUGUGCUGCAAGUGUGGGCUGCAUUCGCAUCCUGACCCAGCACCUCCAUAAUGCCAAACAGUCUCAUAGAAAACCAUUGUUCCGCUCUAGAGGAGAGGAGGUUGAAGUUCUCCGAGUGUUCUCUGAAGUACUGGUGCGAAACCUUUUACCCCAGUCCCUAUGGGGACUGGCAGUCAGCCACUGUGCCUUAAAUGAGAUAGUUGCCUUAAAAGGUAAGCCCCACAAUAUAGGCCUAUCAGUGCCUUUUGUAUUCUCUCAGCACAUUGCUGAAGUUUUGAAAAAAGAACAAAUUAGCAUGAAAUCAUUAUGUUUCUUAUCAUGAUGAGUAAAGGAUAGAGGUUAGAAAUACUGCACAUACCAUGCUGUAACUAAACUAGGGCUCUCCUUAGAGGAAAGCUAACAUACUGUGUUAUUGAAACCUGCAGAUAAUGUAGAACAACACAUUUCACUGCACCUAUGUGACAAUAAAACAUAUAUAUUUUUUAAUAAUGAUCACAGGAGCCAGUGAAACGGCUUGGAUAAUUUACAUUUAUGGCUUUGUAAUGGUAAGAGUUUUUACUGUUGUAGAUAAAACAUUUAACUUCUGCACCUGUAACCUUAAUUGAGUCUCAAUAAUGUUCAGUGAAACUUGACCGUUAACACCAUUUUGUUUUGUUGCCUGGGAGACGUGGAUACUGGAGGUGGACAUUGGUAUAAAAGUGAAACAAGUUGGAAAGGCUCUCCGUAAGGGUCUGUUAUUCUGAGCCUAAGUGUGUCUGCUUUUUGCCUAUGUAUACUGAGCAAAAAUAGAAAUGCUACAAUUUCAAAGAUUUUACUGGGUUACGGUUCAUAUAAGGAAAUCAGUCAAAUGAAAUAAAUUCAUUAGGCCCUAAUUUAUGGAUUUCACAUGACUGGGAAUAAAGAUAUGCAUCUGUUGGUCACAGAUACCUUAAACAAAAUGUAGGGGCGUGGAUCAGAAAACUAGUCAGUAUCUGGUGUGUCCACCAUUUGCCUCAUGCAGCGUGACGCAUCCCCUUCACAUAGAGUUGAUCAGGCUUUUGAUUGUGGCCUGUGGAAGGUUGUUCUCUUCAAUGGCUGUGCAAAGUUGCUUGGUAUUGGUGGGAACUGGAACUCGCUGUCGUACACCUCGAUCCAGAGCAUCCCAAACAUUCUCAAUGGCAGACAUGUCUGGUGAGUAUGCAGGCCAUGAAAGAACUGGGACAUUUUCAGCUUCCAGGAAUGAUGUACAGAUCCUUGCGACAUGGGGUAGUGCAUUAUCAUGCUGAAACAUGAGGUAAUCGCGGCGGAUGAAUGGCACGACAAUGGGCCUCAGGAUCUCGUCAUGACAUCUCUGUGCAUUUAAAUUGCCAUCGAUAAAAUGCAAUUGGGUUCAUUGUCUGUAACUUAUGUCUGCCCAUACCAUAACCCCACCGCCACCAUUGGGCACUCUUUCCACAAUGUUGACAUCAGCAAACCGCUCGCCCACACGAGUUUGCGGUUGUGAAUCCAGUUGGACGUAUUGCCAAAUUCUCUAAAACAACGUUGGAGGCGGCUUAUGUUAGAGAAAUGUACAUUUAAUUAUAUGGCAACAGCUCUAUUGGACAUUCCUGCAGUCAGUAUGCCAAUUGCACGCUCCCUCAAUUUGAGACAUCUGUGUCAUUGUGUUAUGUGAGACAACUGCACAUUUUAGAGUGGCCUUUUAUUGUCCCCAGCACAAGGUGCAUCUGUGUAAUGACCAUUCUGUUUAAUCAGCUGUUUGAAAUGCCACACCAGUCAGGUGGAUUGAUUAUCUUAGCAAAGGAGAAAUGCUCACUAACAGGGAUGUAAAAAAUUUGUGCACAAGAUUUAAGAGAAAUAAGCUUCCCAAAUAAGAUAUUUUAUUUCAGCUCAUGAAACAUGGGGCAGUUUAUAUUUUUGUUUAGUAUUUAUUGAACAUGGUUUUGUCCCACUACCAUGUGGUUUUACUCUGUAGUCAGUAUCACAUUGACUUUGUCAUCCAUGCCCUCAGCACUGGACCUGCUGGUGCGGUGGCUCUCAGACCCUGACAACCUCAACCAGCUGGUGGUGAGUCAGCUGGAUGGAGCGACCCGUAAGAGCUCUGUGGAGGAGCUGUGUGAGUCCCACUCUGACAGGGCCUCUCCCGUCUCCCUGGAGAGCCAGGCCAGUGGAGCGUGAGUGGACCUUUUCCUACCAGGCCGCCUCUCUUGUCUUUAAUAAACACGCUUCAGUGCUGCAAGGGUGCAGAGAACACAGAAAUAAAUUGUGCUUUGGUUUUGUUUGGUGGCCAUUUUAGGAUGCAGGAAGAAACAGAGGAUGCUCAAACCAGUGACAGCAAGUCCAAAAAGAAAGGUGAGGGUAUUUGUGUAUUUGAAACCAUCACUAAGCUAAUUAAAAUGUCCAGUUUAUUCUGUGUGACCCAUGAUGAUUUUUUUCAUGUUUGUUUUCUUUCUCCUGCCUUAAAGUUAUCAUAGUUGCAGUCAACUUGUGACAUAGAAAAGGGCCAUGAAAAUUGUCGACACUUAGCUAAUCAGAUAUGUGUGGUUUAUCCAGCCAACAAAUUGAAGGAAGGCUGGUCUAAAUUCCUUGACAAGAUGAGAUUGAAGAAGGCUAAAAGGGAGAAGAUGAAGAAAAGGGAGCAGGCGCUGGUUGUCACGGCCAUGUCUAUCCAGGGUCGUCCAUCAAACGAAAAUGAAGGGAGUAGCCGGAACCAGCAGGACUCUGACAGCGUAAGGACACUGCACCAGAAAGAGCGGCUCUGCAGUCAUCACUGCACUAUUCACCCUGUUCUAGUCU
rnacentral:lncRNA from 1 species